rnacentral:rRNA from 1 species
UACGUAGGGGGCAAGCGUUGUCCGGAUUUAUUGGGCGUAAAGAGCGUGUAGGCGGCCAGACAGGUCAGCUGUGAAAACUCGAGGCUCAACCUCGAGACGUCGGUUGAAACCGUCUGGCUAGAGUCCGGAAGAGGAGAGUGGAAUUCCCGGUGUAGCGGUGAAAUGCGCAGAUAUCGGGAAGAACACCCGUGGCGAAGGCGGCUACUCGUCGGG